rnacentral:rRNA from 1 species
GUCGAGCGGACAGAAGGGAGCUUGCUCCCGGAUGUUAGCGGCGGACGGGUGAGUAACACGUGGGUAACCUGCCUGUAAGACUGGGAUAACUCCGGGAAACCGGAGCUAAUACCGGAUAGUUCCUUGAACCGCAUGGUUCAAGGAUGAAAGACGGUUUCGGCUGUCACUUACAGAUGGACCCGCGGCGCAUUAGCUAGUUGGUGGGGUAAUGGCUCACCAAGGCGACGAUGCGUAGCCGACCUGAGAGGGUGAUCGGCCACACUGGGACUGAGACACGGCCCAGACUCCUACGGGAGGCAGCAGUAGGGAAUCUUCCGCAAUGGACGAAAGUCUGACGGAGCAACGCCGCGUGAGUGAUGAAGGUUUUCGGAUCGUAAAGCUCUGUUGUUAGGGAAGAACAAGUGCGAGAGUAACUGCUCGCACCUUGACGGUACCUAACCAGAAAGCCACGGCUAACUACGUGCCAGCAGCCGCGGUAAUACGUAGGUGGCAAGCGUUGUCCGGAAUUAUUGGGCGUAAAGGGCUCGCAGGCGGUUUCUUAAGUCUGAUGUGAAAGCCCCCGGCUCAACCGGGGAGGGUCAUUGGAAACUGGGAAACUUGAGUGCAGAAGAGGAGAGUGGAAUUCCACGUGUAGCGGUGAAAUGCGUAGAGAUGUGGAGGAACACCAGUGGCGAAGGCGACUCUCUGGUCUGUAACUGACGCUGAGGAGCGAAAGCGUGGGGAGCGAACAGGAUUAGAUACCCUGGUAGUCCACGCCGUAAACGAUGAGUGCUAAGUGUUAGGGGGUUUCCGCCCCUUAGUGCUGCAGCUAACGCAUUAAGCACUCCGCCUGGGGAGUACGGUCGCAAGACUGAAACUCAAAGGAAUUGACGGGGGCCCGCACAAGCGGUGGAGCAUGUGGUUUAAUUCGAAGCAACGCGAAGAACCUUACCAGGUCUUGACAUCCUCUGACAACCCUAGAGAUAGGGCUUUCCCUUCGGGGACAGAGUGACAGGUGGUGCAUGGUUGUCGUCAGCUCGUGUCGUGAGAUGUUGGGUUAAGUCCCGCAACGAGCGCAACCCUUGAUCUUAGUUGCCAGCAUUUAGUUGG